UGUUUUAUGUAUAUAUAAGGAAAGGAUGAGCUUUAAAGUAUAAACUGAUCAAACAUUAUUAUAUUUCUAUCAUAUAGAGAAACUAUGGUUAAAAUUCUCAAGUUUAUUUAUGUUAUGAUUAUCUUUCUUUCACUAUUUCUUGUUGCAACAAACGUUAAUGCAAUUAAUAAAUGUUCUCAAGAUUCUCAUUGUCCAAAAGAUAUGUGUAAAAAACCUUCAAAACCAAGGUGUGUUGUAAGCCCAAAACUACCACUUUCUUCAAAAUCAGGCGUAUGCACAUGUGUUUGAAUGAUGUGGGAGCUAUCAUUUACUUAUGUUUAUAUGUUGAUGGACUUUAUAAUCAAUAAAAUGAUUGAGGCAACAAAUAAUAUUAUUUAGAUAGUCUUCUACUCACUUAAUAUCAUAUGUAUUAUAUUUUAUUUUGAAUCCUACCACCUAUCAUAUUAACUUUGAUAAUUAAAUUCAAAGAUAGUUUUUAUGUUA